rfam:Helianthus annuus linkage group 5, whole genome shotgun sequence.
AGACCGUGAUGGGGACACUUUUGUAAGCUAGCUCCUUGAACCUUUCCCAAGUUUCAUAUAAGGAUUCCCCCUCCUCUUGCGAGUAUGUAUUAAUUUCAGUCAUUAGUUU